GCACCCCAACCCUCCAAUGUUUUUGCAUUAAAGGUGUUGGUAGUGAGCGCUGCCGGACUUUUGGUCGGCUCGCUUUAAAAUCAUUAGCUGGAUCCAUUCUGACCUGGUUCUACUCGGCGUAAUAAGUUAUUAUCGUCGAGGACGCUUGUCUUUCUAGGCAGGCGGCCACAGUAAGGGUGUCUGAACCGCUUCCAACACGUCUUGCUCUUGUAGCAAACACUUGAAC
rnacentral:misc_RNA from 1 species